UGAAAGAUUGAAGAGCAUUAGUUUGAAGAAGUUGAAACUUCGUGUGCCUUAUAAAGAAUGGGAAGGUAGAGGCUCCUUUGGCUUUUAUAGAUCCUCUCUUUGUGGACGUUCGACUUCAAGCGUGGCGAGUUCAAGCUGAUCAUAUGGCGACCCUAGUUUUGUUGCUCGAAGCAUUAUGGAGAUGCUGCCGCGACACGAGCCUCGACUUUCUUGGCCAAGGAGCAGAGGAGCAGCGUCCUGGUCAUUGUGGCGAUGGUGUUGGCCGAAAACACCACCAAGCACAUGGAAACACGCGAGAUUACAACCAGAUUUCCUGCGAAACUGUCGGUGAGGAAAAGGUUGCUCAAAGCUGGAAGGUUGGUGACUCUAAUGUGUGGCCUUAAGAAUAAUUAUGAUGACGGUUCAUACUGCUUCGCCUAGCAGCACGACGCUUGUAUUGCUCUCCCACAACCCCGUUUUCACGGUUUACUCUUAUAUAUAUACUUGGAAUACUUGCAUCAAUUAGCUGUUUCCUCCUUCUAAUUCUAUGCAUAAAAAGUAAGAUUUGGAGUCAUUCCGACGAGGCGGAUCAACUUACCCUGAUAAUCGGUCAACAGUUUGUAAACAAAACAUCGGAGACAACAUACAAAGGUGUGGAGUAAUUCCGAUGAGGUAGCUACCAUGUUUAUGCCAGAAAAUAAAGGUCUCUACCAUGUAAAUCGCCUCUUUCUUCAUGUGCAUCUCGUUCUUCUUUUACGGGUUUAGUAUUUAUGUAGAGUUCACUACAGGAUUGGAUGGACUCAACUUGGUUCUGUGAAGUAGUGGCUCCGGGUGACUGGCAUGAAAAAUGGGUGUAAUCGAGGAGUUGAGCCGAUACGUUUCCAAGCAUGAGCUCGACUGAACUAUUGCGUAUUUGGUGUUCGAAACUUGGCUCCAAUUUAAUUGAGAAUUAAGAUUUCUGGUCAAGCUCGCUUGAAUAAUACAUCUAGGUACUUGAGCUCGAAUCAUUCGACUCAUGUGCAACCAUUUUAUGAAGGAGCUCAAUCUUAGAGAGCCUGAAAAUUUUUCUUAUGUUUUCACAGAUACGUGUAGUUAUAUUAUCUAACUUUUAUGAGUA
rnacentral:lncRNA from 1 species